UACAACUUUCAGCAACGGAUCUCUUGGCUCUCGCAUCGAUGAAGAACGCAGCGAAAUGCGAUAAGUAAUGUGAAUUGCAGAAUUCAGUGAAUCAUCGAAUCUUUGAACGCACCUUGCGCUCCUUGGUAUUCCGAGGAGCAUGCCUGUUUGAGUGUCAUGGAAU
rnacentral:rRNA from 1 species